UGAGGUAGUAGGUUGUAUAGUAGGGUUACAUCAAUUCAGGCGACUAUACAACCUUCUAGCUUUGAC
rnacentral:pre_miRNA from 1 species